rnacentral:rRNA from 1 species
UACGGAGGGUGCAAGCGUUAUCCGGAUUCACUGGGUUUAAAGGGUGCGUAGGCGGGCAGGUAAGUCAGUGGUGAAAUCCCCGAGCUUAACUCGGGAACUGCCAUUGAUACUAUUAGUCUUGAAUUUUGUUGAGGUAGGCGGAAUAAGUCAUGUAGCGGUGAAAUGCUUAGAUAUGACUUAGAACACCAAUUGCGAAGGCAGCUUGCUAAACAAACAUUGACGCUGAGGCACGAAAGCGUGGGGAUCAAACAGG